UGGGAAUUGAACUGAGGACUUCUGUAUGC
rnacentral:piRNA from 1 species